AGUGAACGCUGGCGGCGUGCUUAACACAUGCAAGUCGAACGAGAACGGAUUAUAGCUUGCUAUAAUUGUCAGCUAAGUGGCGCACGGGUGAGUAAUAUAUAGGUAACGUGCCCCAAAGAAGAGGAUAACAGAUGGAAACGUCUGCUAAGACUCUGUAUGCCUUUAUGACAAAAGUCAGCAAGGGAAAUAUUUAUAGCUUUGGGAUCGGCCUGUACAGUAUCAGUUAGUUGGUGAGGUAAUGGCUCACCAAGACAAUGACGCUUAACUGGUUUGAGAGGAUGGAUCAGUCACACUGGAACUGAGACACGGUCCAGACUCCGUACGGGAGGCAGCAGGUGGGGAAUAUUGCACAAUGGACGAAAGUCUGAUGCAGCAACGCCGCGUGGAGGAUGACACAUUUCGGUGCGUAAACUCCUUUAUAUGGGAAGAUAAUGACGGUACCAUAUGAAUAAGCACCGGCUAACUCCGUG
rnacentral:rRNA from 1 species